AACGAACGCUGGCGGCAUGCCUAACACAUGCAAGUCGAACGAGACCUUCGGGUCUAGUGGCGCACGGGUGCGUAACGCGUGGGAACCUGCCCUUAGGUUCGGAAUAACUCCCCGAAAGGGGUGCUAAUACCGGAUAAUGUCUUCGGACCAAAGAUUUAUCGCCUUUGGAUGGGCCCGCGUUGGAUUAGCUAGUUGGUAGGGUAAAAGCCUACCAAGGCGACGAUCCAUAGCUGGUCUGAGAGGAUGAUCAGCCACACUGGGACUGAGACACGGCCCAGACUCCUACGGGAGGCAGCAGUGGGGAAUAUUGGACAAUGGGAGAAAGCCUGAGCCAGCAAUGCCGCGUGAGUGAUGAAGGCCUUAGGGUUGUAAAGCUCUUUUACCCGGGAUGAUAAUGACAGUACCGGGAGAAUAAGCUCCGGCUAACUCCGUG
rnacentral:rRNA from 1 species